CAUGAUUUUGUGUUUAGUUUAAAAUCUGGUCUUCUUACCUCUAAUGGCUGCUUCCUCCAAGGUGGUUUGUUGGUGUCCAUUACCAUACCUGUGUAUGUAAAGAUAUGCAGGGAAACAACCAUUUCCUACUCUUUUGAAGGCUUUUCCCCUGUUGCCAGAGCUGGGGCAUGAGUGCCCCUGAGAGAGAAGCAGGGAAGCAGAACUUUCUCUCAAGGCCUCCAUUGGCGAAAUGGAGCAGGACCCACUUAACACCAUGAGGAAGGAAAGGAGCUGGAGGAAGCACAGAACAAGAUCUGAUGCCAAAUUUAUGGAGAGAAAGUGAAAAGAAAAUGCUGAAAUCUUCUCAAAAACUCUGGACGUCUGAUAUAACAUUCAAAAGAAGUGAGCCCAACUUACAUUUGCUCAGUUUUGAAGCUACACAGCAAUGAAGUACCUAGAAACACCAGUGCAAAAGGAUCAUAAAGUGAGCAUCGUGAACAAAACAACAGCCCUGCCCACCAGUGUGGUUCAACCUUCAGCUAAAUCGACACCUGAUGGAAGUAUCAAUAAUUCCCCAGUGCCUAUUCAUUUCAUAGGUAAAUUUAACAAAAUACCUCAAACUGGGUGGCUUAAUCAACAAAAAUUUAUUUUUUUCAGAAUUCU
rnacentral:lncRNA from 1 species